GUGCUCGCUUUGCAGCACAUAUGCUAAAAUUGGAAUAAUACAGAGAUUAGUGUGGUCACUGUGCAAGGAUGACACGCAAGUUUGUGAAGCAUUCUAUAUAUAU